rfam:Oryza nivara chromosome 2, whole genome shotgun sequence.
UAUAAAUGUAAGUAUCAAUUUCUACAUCCAACUUUGAUCGUCUGUCUUAUUUAAAUUUUUUUUAUAAUUAGUAUAUUUUAUUAUUAUAAGAUGAUAAAACAUAAAUAGUACUGUACUCGCGACUUAUGUUUUAAUUUUUUUUAAAAAAAUUUAAAUAAGAUAAACUAUUAAAGUUGGACGUAGAAAACUAUGACUAUAUUUAAA